rnacentral:rRNA from 1 species
UCCUUUAACGAGGAUCAACUGGAGGGCAAGUCUGGUGCCAGCAGCCGCGGUAAUUCCAGCUCCAGAAGCGUAUAUUAAAGUUGUUGCAGUUAAAAAGCUCGUAGUUGGAUCUGGGUCGCAUGGCUACGUGCCGUCGCUUGUAUCCUCGGUUUGACUACGGUCGGACCGGGUUUGUGAGUCGGCUUCGUGGCUGUGCAGCCUUUCUGCCGUGUCUGUUACGACAGGUGCCGAUGGUUAUUCCGUUGGCAUGCUCCCAGAUGCCUUUAACCGGGUGUCGGGGGCGGACGGCACGUUUACUUUGAACAAAUUUGAGUGCUCAAAGCAGGCCUAUGCCUGAAAAAUCUUGCAUGGAAUAAUGGAAUAGGACUUCGGUUCUAUUUUGUUGGUUUUCGGAUCCGAAGUAAUGGUUAAGAGGGACAGACGGGGGCAUUUGUAUGGCGGUGUUAGAGGUGAA